UUGCUUUGGCAGCAAAUAUACAACAAUACAGAGAAGAUUAGCCCCUGCACAAGGAUGACAUGCAAAUUCUGAAGCGUCCAUAUUUUU
ensembl:snRNA U6 U6 spliceosomal RNA